rnacentral:rRNA from 1 species
UGGCGGACGGGUGAGUAAUGUCUGGGAAACUGCCUGAUGGAGGGGGAUAACUACUGGAAACGGUAGCUAAUACCGCAUAACGUCGCAAGACCAAAGGGGGGGACCUUCGGGCCUCUUGCCAUCAGAUGUGCCCAGAUGGGAUUAGCUAGUAGGUGGGGUAACGGCUCACCUAGGCGACAAUCCCUAGCUGGUCUGAGAGGAUGACCAGCCACACUGGAACUGAGACACGGUCCAGACUCCUACGGGAGGCAGCAUG